AUGAACGCUGGCGGCGUGCCUCAUCCAUGCAGGUCGAGCGAACGGACGAGAAGCUUGCUUCUCUGAUGUUAGCGGCGGACGGGUGAGUAACACGUGGAUAACCUACCUAUAAGACUGGGAUGACUUCGGGAAACCGGAGCUAAUACCGGAUAAUAUUUUGAACCGCAUGGUUCAAAAGUGAAAGACGGUCUUGCUGUCACUUAUAGAUGGAUCCGCGCUGCAUUAGCUAGUUGGUAAGGUAACGGCUUACCAAGGCAACGAUGCAUAGCCGACCUGAGAGGGUGAUCGGCCACACUGGAACUGAGACACGGUCCAGACUCCUACGGGAGGCAGCAGUAGGGAAUCUUCCGCAAUGGGCGAAAGCCUGACGGAGCAACGCCGCGUGAGUGAUGAAGGUCUUCGGAUCGUAAAACUCUGUUAUUAGGGAAGAACAUAUGUGUAAGUAACUGUGCACAUCUUGACGGUACCUAAUCAGAAAGCCACGGCUAACUACGUG
rnacentral:rRNA from 1 species